UGGUUGUCUAUGCUCCAGUUGCAGAUGGCUCAGCUCUCCUGGCUGCUGCUUCCCUCUGCCAGGGCUGAGUGGCCAUUUAUCAUCUCAGAAAACUUCUCCAGGCAGCUGGCGGUGGAGCGCUGGGUCUAUCCACCUCUGUGUUUACAGAGCUGGGCGGACGUCUGCCUCUAGUCAACUCCCUCUGCUCCUCUCCCAAAUGAACAUUCCUGACAUUUGACUUGGCGGGAGUGUUUUAGGAGGCCCAAGUCCACCUUGUGUAAACAUGCACAGGCUUCUUGGUGUGAAUGAUCGCUCCUUACAAGAAAUGCGUCAGUCCUGUUGCCCAACUCACUCAGCCCCAGCGUCUGACAUCUUUGUGGUUUGUUUUUUUUUCCUCUGGACUUCUGGAUCCACAGGGGGAUCUUUUCAACCUGGAACCUGGGAUGGAACUCCCCUGCCUUAUUGUGCUGAGAAGAGCUGUAUUGGGGAGCCAUUGUUAAAUAUUUGAAGCUGUUUACAACUGGGUAGUGAUAUAGGGUGGUGGACAGAAAGGAUAUUGUUUAGUCAUGAUCCCUAAAAUGGUCUGCAAAGAAGUGUAACUGACAGAAAAACAAAAACAAACAAACACCCAGAGUGCUCCUCUUCUAAGGAAACUGCUAUUUCAGCCUGCACCAGAUGUGUCCUAGUUUUCCCUGAUGGAUGACAAAUCCCAGAGUCACCUUCCUGACUAAUGCAUCUGACUUAUUCAUCAUGCUUUGCUCACUUAGGAAUGUCACCUAGGCCUCUAACACCUGAAUUAAUCCUCCGAUGAAAAUGAAAUCUUAAAAAUUAAACAGGAAACAGGUAACACUGAGACAGUGAAUAUCUAACUCUGGUGGUGCAGAAUACAGAACUGAUUUAGUCUUUCACAAACCAGAUGUUAUUGACACAGACCAACAGUGAUGAUAAGUGGCAGGCGUGAAACGUUUAUAUCUGCACGAGUCUUUACCAGAAUAUCCAGAACUCUAGAAGGAGUCAGUGUCUAUCUAAUCACAAUUCUUUCUGUGGGUUAUCUCUGAGGGUUAGUGCCUGUAUUACUUCUCUGCUCCUGUGGCCAUUUUUUCUUUCUCUUCUUCCCCUUCCUCUUCCUCCUCCUCUUCUCCUCCUUCUCCUCCUCCUUCUUCUUAUUCUCUUUCUCCUUCUUCUCCUUUUUUGAUAAUGAAGUAGAUAGAGAAGGAGAGAGAGGUACCUGCAUCACUGCUCCACCACUUAUGAAACUCUCCCCCGUAGGUGGGAACUGGAAGGUUUGAACCCCUGGUAGUGGCACAUGGUAAUGUGGGAGCUCCACCUUGUGUGCCAACACCUAGAUCCCCAAGCUCAAUUUUCUUUUGCCAUGUGCAUUUGUUAGUUACUGGGCAUGUUCAGUCCCACCCCCCCCCCAUUUAUUUAUUUCACAAAGAAUAAAGUUCACAUUACAAAAGUAAGGUUGUGAACUGGACAAGAGCUCAACUGGUAGCUCACAGGACUUUCAUGUGUGAGGGUCCCAGUUUGAGCUCCAGCACUGCAUAUUUCCUCUCUCUCUCUUUCUCUUUCUCUCUCUCUCCAAAACCCUCUGUCUAAUUUGAAAUUAAUGUUUAAAUUAAGAUAGAGCAAAGUUCAAGUUUUUAUCUUCAUGAGUCAGUGCAAUUGCACCGUUUCUGACUAUGUUUUGAAAUAGCUUCAGAUUUCAGUGUGAAACAGUGCCCUGUGUUCCCAUUACCCUGAGCCCAGCUCCUCUGACUGCAGCAUCUUGCAUAAGAAUCAAAAUUCAAUCAGCAAACCGAUGUGUUCUUACUGAGGCAUGAGUAGUUACUAAGCCACCUCCAAUGCAGGUAGAUUUUAUACUGAUGUGCACUGUCUGGCUCGCCAAUCAGUCCAGGAUGUCACACUGUUCUUCCAUCAUUUCAAUGUCCUAUUUGAGUAUUUUCUUACUGUCUGCUAUGCUUAUGUUUUAUUUUAAUUUUUAUUUAAUUAUUUAUUACAUUUUUUGGUAGAGACAGAGAGGAAUUGAGAGGGGAGGGAGAGAUAGAGAGGGAGAGAGAAAGAGACACCUGAAGCCCUGAUUCACAGCUCCUGAAGCUUCUCCUCUUGCAGGUGGGGACUGAGGACUGGGACCCAGGUUCUUGUACAAAAUAAAAACCAUUUAAUGCAAUUACUUUUGAAUUUGGAAGAAGAAAAAGAAACUAAAAUAUAGUCAAAGCUAUUGAAUUUCAGGUAAUUUAUUAAGCUCAUUUAUUAUUAUGUAUGAGGACCAGAGUUUAAGCCUCUGCUCCCCACCUGCAGGGGGUAACACUUAAUGAGCAGUGAAGCAGGUCUGCAGGUAUUUUUCUGUUUCUCUCCUUCUCUAUCUCCCCUUCCUCUCUCAAUUUCUAUCUGUCCUAUCAAAUUAAAAGAUAUGACCUAAGUCAUUACUCUAAAGCAGGAAAAGAUCUUAGAUAAGAUUUUGAUGCUCAUCAGGUAGAGUUCUGUUUGCUGCCUAAUGAACCACGCAGAAACUUUGUGGCUGAAAAUAAAUGCAAUUUAUCCCAGUCAACGAGGCUACAAGUGCAUGGGUUUAGCUAGCCCGGGUUAACAAUUUUGUUGAAUUGUUGAAUUUCUAUACUCUGGACAUGAGGCCUGGCUAGUCUGGGCUAGCUUCAUGCAGACAUGUGGUAGAUGGUUACCUCCAUGUCUGAGGCCCUCAGGGGGACACCCAGUUGUGUGACCACUCACCUUCUGCAGGAUAAUCCAGACUUGCUCACACAGUGGUAGCUGAGUUUCAGAAGAGAAGCUGGGAGAAUGCAAGUCCUCCUAAAACUUGGAUUCAGAACCUGCAGAAUAUGCCAUUGUUCAUCGCAAAUGUGGAGACCCUUCACGUCCAGGUCUGGCUGUCCAAGAGUCCAGGACACUGGUGGUGGUUACACAUGUGUCAUGUUUUCAUUGUAGCACCAUUCUUUCAUUCUGCAAAUGUAAGCAUUUUACUGGGAGCUGUUUCCCCCAUUUGUUUUUGAAGGUGUUUUUUUUUUUUUUAACACUUGUUUAUUUUGCCUCUAUAGUCACCAAUCAUGUAUUCACUGGAUAUUGUUUAACUUUCACACAUGUCUGUAUUCUUCCUUACAAUCUUUAUUUACUUCUUUUUGUUGCUACCAGGGUUAUUGCUGGCACUCAGUGUCUGUACAAUGAAUUCACCACUCUCAGCAGUCAUCUUUCCCCUAUUUUUUCCCUUUAUUGAUAGAACAGAAAUUAAUAGUGGAGAGGGAGAGAAGGAGAAAAAAAAAAGAGAGAGACAUCAGAAGCACUUGCUUUACCACCUCUGCAGGUGGGGACUGGGGACUUAAAUCCGGGUCCUUGCAAAUAGUAACAUUGGUGUUCAACCAGGUCCACCACCACCAGGCCCCAAAAUCUUAUAAAUUUUUUUUAAUGCUGUUAUAUAUGCUUAGAGUGUUUCCCCAGAUAUUGCAGAUAUGAAUCAGUUAUGUUAUUCAGAUUUCAAAGAAAAUUCACAUGAUCAGACAGAUCUUCCUGGAAGAGUGUUUUGCUUUCUUUGUAAACUAUAUAAAUUUAUUCUCUGAUUUUUUUCUAUACCCUUAUCAUAGACUUUGAGCUUUAUAAGGACAAAGAUAUUACUAUCUUAAUCACUGCUGACACCCCAGCUCCCAGAAGAACUUCUAACAAGUCAGGGAUAGUCAGUAAUGAUUUGUUAAGUGGAUGAGUGAACAGUCUUGUCUAUUUUUUUCUUUAUUGGGGGGUUAAUGGUUUACAGUUGACAAUAUAGUAGUUGGUAAAUGUUCCAGGACCUGAACAUUCCCCCUCUGCCCCCCUUCCGUUCUUAUUUUUCAACUUCUUUCUGUGAGUGAGAUCAUUCCAUAUUCAUCCUUCUCUUUCUGGCUCAUCUCACUUAACGUGAUUCCUUCAAGCUCCAUCCAAGAUGAGGUGAAGAAGGUGAAUGAAUUCACUAUUUUUAAUAGCUUAUUAGUCAGUCCUGUCCAUUUUAAGACAGACUUUCACAGUCUGGACUUCUUCUUAGAUGUUUUGUUUAUUUUUUCACCUCAAUUUAUGUCGUACAGUUUCUUUGAAGUCAGCGAGGGAGAGCUCACUGUCAAGACUCUGUUUCUUGGGAAAAUGAAGUGUCUUCUUUAUUCUUCUUUGCCUUAUAUUGUUUUCUUCUUUGUGUGUUUCCCCCAUUUUAAAGCAGGCUUCUGGUCACUACUCAUGUUAGAUACUUGCAGAAAGAGGCCAUAGAUGGAGUAAAACUGAGGAGGGUGAAGGUAAACUCAAACAGAGGGCAUGACUUUUCCCAACCUGUCACCAAACUUCUUAGCUUUCUCAGCCUCUUCAACAGAUGCCAUCAUUAACAUGCUGGCAUUUGAGAGGUGGAUCACUUGGGAAAUGUGUUCUCUCUCAUGUUCUCCAUUUCAUGUCCACUCUGCUUGGUUCCAUAGCUGUGAGGGUAGACAGCAGAUACAACUGUGUGUCACCUCCCCCAUCUCUAGCAUGUUCUGUGCUGUCAUCUUGGGCUUCAGUGAAGACUGCCUUCCUCUGCAGUGGCCUUCUGUGGACCCCCAGAUCUGACAUCAUAAGAGUGACUCUAAGGUGGGCAUUUCAGGGCAGCCCCACUGGCUUGGGGGGAAGUGUCCUUUUGCUGGUGGCCUGCGGAUGGGUUAUUGCUCAUUGUCUUUCCUCAUAUGGAUCCAGGUUUCACAGCACUGGCUGGUCAGCCACAUAGUUUGUGGCUUCAGAGUGCAGUCACAUCCUGCUUUGAGGGUUGGCAAGCGAGGUUUGUCUCCGUAUUUUUGUUACUGCUGAGCUCUUGGAGGAAAGGGAGGGCAGGGCCAGGCAUCUGGAACACCGUGACCCUCACCAAGCUCCCCUGUGGCUACUCCUUGCCCUCUGCACAUGCUGUCCUGCAGAGCAUGGGGCCCACCCAGUGCCCGGCACCCACCCAACAGGAGACAGGGCCCAAUUCUCAGUGUCUGGACCCAGCCUACACUGCUACUGUGACCCCACUACUCUCCCUUCUUUGCUCUGUAUCCUGCCACAGCUCAGUCUCUGCUGGCUUCUGGUUUUGUGUUAUUUUGGCUUUAGCCUUAAUAAUGGGCUUUCUUCUCCCUACAGGACAGCGAUGCUAUGUUCUCUCUGUGUUAAGAGUUUUCUUUUCUUUUCUUUUUCUUUUAAUAUUUAUUUAUUUAUUUCCCCUUAGUUGCCCUUUGUUGUUUUAUUUUUGUAGUUAUUAUUACUGUUUUUAUUGAUGCUGUCAUUGUUGGAUAGGACAGAAAGAAAUGGAGAGAGUAGGAGAAGAUGGAGGGGGAGAGAAAGAUAGACACCUGCAGACCUGCUUCACCACCUAUGAAGCGACUCUCCUGCAGGUGGGGAGCUGGAGGCUCGAACCAGGAUCCUUGCUCCAGACCUUGUGCUUUGCGCCAUGUGCACUUAACCUGCUAUGCUACCACCAGACUCCCUUAAGAGGUUUCUAGCCUUUGUCUUCCUCACUUCUCUAGUAGAGCUAUAGCCACUCCCACAACAGUCACUGCUUCUGCUGAGAGAAUGCCCACUUUACACCAGCAGUAGUGCCCAUGUUCCCUGACCUCAAUGACCCCGCAACAUCACUGUCAUCCCUAGCAAUGUGCAUGGACACACAUGAUAUGUGGCCUUCUCCUAAAACAGACUGCAGAGUUGUGCUCAGACAGCACUAUGUUGGCUCAAGAGUUUGGGAAGGUACCCUCAGGUGAUUGAGUCCUUCAAUUCUAUGCCAAGGUUUAGAGAGAGGCCCUGUGACCAGAGACCUGGGGUUUGCAGACCAGGAAGAGGAAUCACAGAGAAGCUACACACUGACUCAGGACAAUCCCCACAGGCUUGCCUCCCUGCUGUUUAGCAUACACACCCAGUUCCUCUCUGCUCAGGAUGUUUCCAGAGUGAUGCUCCCCCAAGCCUGUUUCCCCACCUGAGCCCUGGCAGCUCCCCUAAGCAUUCUGCUCCAACCAUCUGGGACCCACCACCAACACCGCCACAACUCUGGGCUUGGAGAACUCACCUAGUACAGAACAAGUCUCAUCAAGCAUGAAGCCCUGGGUUUGAGCUCCAGCAUGACAUGGGAACAGUCUGAACAGCAACAAGGGGAUCUCCUAGGAUGGUGGAGUGGUGCUGUGACAUUUCUCCUCUUUGUGUCUCUCCCUCUUCUUAUAAAACAAAGAAUAAAAAUGUUGACCUGGGUGAUGCACAAGAUCCCAGCUGUUGCA